CUAUACUAUCGGUAGCACGGACGCCUCUGUGCUACCAAGUUGUUUUCAAUGAUGCCACUUCCAAAUCGACGAUCGGCUCCAUUAGACUUGAUCUACACUAUUGAAAGUAUUUGGAAACUAAAUUUCAUAAUUUUUCAGUAUCAUUUACCUAUCAAACGAGUAGUCUAAAAAUGAACGGCUGAAAAUAAAAAUCUCAUAAAAAAAUGAUGAUAGAAGACUUGAAUUUAAGAUCAGAGGUAAUGAUCUUAUUCUAAAUAGUAAAAAGAAUUUUCUAUAAAAAUUUCAUCUGAUUUGGAUUAUUUUACACCAUUAAAUUUACAAACGGAUCACAUCUACCAUUAAAAUUGUCAAUUUUGAGACCUUUUGAUCACUAGCCAAAUGAUGUCUAAAAAUUCUGAAAUU
rnacentral:lncRNA from 1 species